AUGAUAUUCACUCCGUCCCGAAUUACUUGUCGCAGAAAUGGAUAGAAAGUGAUGUAUCUAGAAUUAAAAAUACGUCUACAUACAUCGAUUUCAGCGACAAGCAAUUCGGGAUGGAGGGAAUAUAAA
rfam:Triticum aestivum genome assembly, contig: Triticum_aestivum_CS42_TGACv1_scaffold_374975_5AL